rnacentral:lncRNA from 1 species
CUUUUAACAGUGUGCUUGGUGAUUAACCACUAGUAUCUGGGAAUAAUAAUUGGUCAUGGACAUCCAUCCUAUGGGGUUGAUUAACUAGGAAAAAGCAGCAUAUUUUUUCUUUCUCUUCUACUUUUUUUUCCUCUUUUUUUUUUCCUCUUUUUUUUUUUUUUUUUUUUUUUUUGUCUUUUUCACUGUAAAGCUUUUCCGUGGUAAUUCCACCAUUCAUUACGAUGGAGAAAUUGGCUCCAAACCAAGUACUUCUGCCAAAGCCAUUAUUUCCAUCAUCACACUCUGCAUCAGUCUGUAGUGCAGCCUUGUGGGAAGACAAUGUUCUGUCCCCUUGUGGUUCUUAAGUUAUGGGUAAGGAGCUUACAUAUAUUAAAAGGAGGGUCUUCACUUAGUCUCUUAAUCUUUAUGAGCACUAAUAAUAGUCAACUCUGUUUCCAAAAUUUAGAAACACUUUCUUUUAGAGUAGACGGGUUGCACAUGUUAGAAGAUAAGUCUCAGUUCAAUGAGAUUAGAAGCUAAGUGUUUUUUUCAAAUGCCUACACUUUUUUUUUUUUUUUUUUUUGGUAAGGGCUUUUGUAUCUUUAAUGCAUACACUUUUCCUCCUAUACUUACUUUCUGUAUCUUUAAGAGGAUAAUUGCUGAAUUGAAAUUUGAGAGUGUUAUCUUAAUAACCAAUUACUCAAAUAACUUUGAAAUUGGCUUAAAUUGGCUCGUCAUGCUACAUUUACCUGAAUCUUUUUAUGGGAAAGUUAGGAACAAAAAAAAAAAAAAAAAGAAAAAAAAAAAAAAGAAAAAAAAAUUGGCAGCCUGAUUUGUUUAGCUUUGCUGGAGGUUCCUGGUUGCAGCGGGGAGAGUGGCCCAGCGUGACCCCGGCACAGACCCCCUGCCUGGCCGCCUCCGGUACGGCGGAGGAAUGCAGCGGGAGGCCAGGGCGGCCGGACCCUCGCCCCGCGGGCGCUGCUCUCUCUGGAGGCCUGUACAAACACAGCCUGCUGGUGUGCGGCGGAGAGGAUUCAACAAGAAAAUGAGGUGUUCAGCCUGUGGUCCUUGCCACUCCUUGUCUGAGUACUUUUGGCCCCAGUUUUGCUUUCUGCAGGCAGCAGAGCCUCAGCUGGCCCCUUGGCCACUUUUUACUCCUGCUGUUGUAUUUGCCUGUGGUAUUUUCUCAGAAGACGCUGGAAAAGAGGAAAACAGGCUUCGUAUGGUACCUGUAAUUGAAGAGGAGAAAUCUGAGAUUUCUGCAGGCAUUUAA